GAGGUAGACAGAUGUUUCUCCAGCUGUUGUCUUUGUGGCUGGUAGUCUAGAGUUGUAGAGCAGCAUUGUUUGGGUAAGGUUAGAGCAGAAACAAAGACAUUUAUGAAUCAGUCUCUUCUUCUCUUGCUCUCUAACUCGUCUGUAAACAUGUGUGGGGAAACUCAAUGUUAAAGCCUACAGCUGGAGGGGGAGGGGAGGGGUGAAGCUGGUGGUUGUGAGUCUGUGAAAGUGAAUCCUGCCGGUGCCAUAGCUGCUGAAAACGUACUUAGUGCAGACACAAAACGUCCAUCAGCUUCAAAGUGUGUCAGAAAAAUGUCCACAUGAUGACUGAUGGAUGAGAGAGGUCCCAUUUUUGUUGUUGUGCACAAAUCAUUGAA